rnacentral:rRNA from 1 species
UGGGGAAUUUUGGACAAUGGGCGAAAGCCUGAUCCAGCAAUGCCGCGUGUGUGAAGAAGGCCUUCGGGUUGUAAAGCACUUUUGUCCGGAAAGAAAUCCUUGGCUCUAAUACAGUCGGGGGAUGACGGUACCGGAAGAAUAAGCACCGGCUAACUACGUGCCAGCAGCCGCGGUAAUACGUAGGGUGCAAGCGUUAAUCGGAAUUACUGGGCGUAAAGCGUGCGCAGGCGGUUUGCUAAGACCGAUGUGAAAUCCCCGGGCUCAACCUGGGAACUGCAUUGGUGACUGGCAGGCUAGAGUAUGGCAGAGGGGGGUAGAAUUCCACGUGUAGCAGUGAAAUGCGUAGAGAUGUGGAGGAAUACCGAUGGCGAAGGCAGCCCCCUGGGCCAAUACUGACGCUCAUGCACGAAAGCGUGGGGAGCAAA